rnacentral:rRNA from 1 species
UACGUAGGGUGCAAGCGUUGUCCGGAAUUAUUGGGCGUAAAGAGCGUGUAGGCGGCCCGGUAAGUCCGCCGUGAAAACUCGGGGCUCAACCCCGGGCUUGCGGUGGAUACUGUCGGGCUAGAGGGUGGUAGAGGGGAGUGGAAUUCCCGGUGUAGCGGUGAAAUGCGCAGAUAUCGGGAGGAACACCAGUAGCGAAGGCGGCUCCCUGGGCCAUUCCUGACGCUGAGACGCGAAAGCGUGGGGAGCAAACAGG